rnacentral:rRNA from 1 species
GACGAACGCUGGCGGCGCGCCUAAUACAUGCAAGUUGAGCGCUGAAGGUUGGUACUUGUACCAACUGGAUGAGCAGCGAACGGGUGAGUAACGCGUGGGGAAUCUGCCUUUGAGCGGGGGACAACAUUUGGAAACGAAUGCUAAUACCGCAUAAAAACUUUAAACACAAGUUUUAAGUUUGAAAGAUGCAAUUGCAUCACUCAAAGAUGAUCCCGCGUUGUAUUAGCUAGUUGGUGAGGUAAAGGCUCACCAAGGCGAUGAUACAUAGCCGACCUGAGAGGGUGAUCGGCCCCAUUGGGAGUGUGACACGGCCCAAACUCCUACGGGAGGCAGCAGUAGGGAAUCUUCGGCAAUGGACGAAAGUCUGACCGAGCAACGCCGCGUGAGUGAAGAAGGGUUUCGGAUCGUAAAACUCUGUUGGUAGAGAAGAACGUUGGUGAGAGUGGAAAGCUCAUCAAGUGACGGUAACUACCCAGAAAGGGACGGCUAACUACGUG